rnacentral:rRNA from 1 species
AUUGAACGCUGGCGGCAUGCCUUACACAUGCAAGUCGAACGGUAACGCGGGCAACCUGGCGACGAGUGGCGAACGGGUGAGUAAUGCAUCGGAACGUGCCCAGUAGUGGGGGAUAGCCCGGCGAAAGCCGGAUUAAUACCGCAUACGACCUACGGGUGAAAGCGGGGGACCGUAAGGCCUCGCGCUAUUGGAGCGGCCGAUGUCAGAUUAGCUAGUUGGUGGGGUAAAGGCCUACCAAGGCGACGAUCUGUAGCUGGUCUGAGAGGACGACCAGCCACACUGGGACUGGGACACGGCCCAGACUCCUACGGGAGGCAGCAGUGGGGAAUUUUGGACAAUGGGGGCAACCCUGAUCCAGCCAUGCCGCGUGCGGGAAGAAGGCCUUCGGGUUGUAAACCGCUUUUGUCGGGGAAGAAACGGUCUGCGCUAAUACCGCGGGCUAAUGACGGUACCCGAAGAAUAAGCACCGGCUAACUACGUGCCAGCAGCCGCCGUAAAAC